rnacentral:rRNA from 1 species
UGGGAGGCAGCAGUGAGGAAUAUUGGACAAUGGGGGCAACCCUGAUCCAGCCAUGCCGCGUGAGUGAUGAAGGCCUUCGGGUUGUAAAGCUCUUUUGGCGGGGACGAUGAUGACGGUACCCGCAGAAUAAGCCCCGGCUAACUUCGUGCCAGCAGCCGCGGUAAGACGAAGGGGGCUAGCGUUGUUCGGAAUUACUGGGCGUAAAGCGCGUGUAGGCGGUUAUCCAAGUCGGGUGUGAAAGCCUUGAGCUCAACUCAAGAAUUGCACUCGAUACUGGGUGACUAGAGGACCGGAGAGGAUAGUGGAAUUCCCAGUGUAGUGGUGAAAUACGUAGAGAUUGGGAAGAACACCAGUGGCGAAGGCGGCUAUCUGGACGGUUUCUGACGCUAAGACGCGAAAGCGUGGGGAGCAAACAGGAUUAGAUACCCGUGUAGUC